rnacentral:rRNA from 1 species
AUUGAACGCUGGCGGCAGGCCUAACACAUGCAAGUAGAGCGGAACGGCGGACGGAUGAGUAAUGCCUAGGAAUCUGCCUUGUAUUGGGGGAUAACGUCCGGAAACGUGCGCUAAUCCCGUAUCCUAUACGCUACGCCUAGGUCGGAUUAGCUAGUUGGUUGGGUAAAGGCCUACCAAGGCGACGAUCCGUACCAGGUAUGAGAGGAUGAUCAGUCACACGGGAACGGGGACACGGGCCAGAUUCCUACGGGAGGCAGCAGGGGGGAAUAUUGGACAAUGGGCGAAAGCCUGAUCCAGCCAUGCGGCGUGUGGGAAGAAGGUUUUCGGAUUGUAAAGCACUUUAAGUUGGGAGGCGUUACCAACAGAGUAAGCACCGGCUAACUUCGGGCCAGCAGCCGCGGUAAUAC